AUGCAUUAAAUUGUAGUCUCUUUGGCUUUAAGCCUACACUUUUGAUAUCUGAAACUUGCAGAUUUGAUGUCUUUAUUUCGACAUUGGGCUGUUUUGUGAGGGUGGGCAUAGGGGUCUUUUGUUUUUGCCACUUUUGGUCUUGCAGAAUCUUACAAAGCCUUGUGAAGAAUGCCACCUAUCAGAAGAAGUUAUGCCCUGAAAUCGCCCGGUUCCACUGAACGCUUCGGCAGGCAGGACAGUUCGUUGUGCUACAAUAGAUUUAAGACUUUACUUUUAAAAUUUAUAAUUACCUAGCCACUACUCUGCGCAACUGUGCAGGGUGAAAAAGUUGCUUUACAAAUGUAUAGCAAUGGUCUUCUUUUCAACUGUUGCACAACUGUGCUCCAGACUCCAAAUUUAGAGUGGCUGGAAGUAGCUGCGCAACUGUGCAGCUUUAUUUGGUAUUGCCUGUACAUUACCUGAAAAAGCUGUGUUUGGGGUGGGGAGGGCUAUGCACUUUUCUCUCUCUUCUGCAGAAAUCACAUCAGCCAGCUGUGUGGUGAAAGUUACAUGAUGUCAGCCUGUGGAGUCUGUAGUUACCAGGUGUCUGAAUCAUUAAACUUGACUGUAGAAACCUCAUGCAACCACUUUUUGUAAACUUAAGUAACAUUAAUCACCAAUGCUUCAGAAGCUACACUCCUUUUUAUGCUUCAUGCACUUUAAGUUUCUCUUACAUCUCUUAACUCCUUUAGUUGAGUUAUACAGUUAGUAUUGCAAUCGGUGUGGUGGAAGUGUUUGUGUGUAGAAGCUCUUUGUUUCAGAUUACCUGUUUGUCCCCCUGCCUUCUCGACUGCAUCUGAAUGCAAGGCUGUCUGUGAGAGAAGUUGCACCGGUGAAUGUCUUCACUUGAGUGAAUGGCGAUCCGAAUCCCCCUUCUGUGCGCUUGAGAGCUUUGUCCAAACCUCAGAAGCCCUUCGCCGAAGUCCUUCAGUGUGUCUGCGCGUCUUUCCUGUUUUUCCCCCCUCCAAUUCUUCAUUUUCUUAGGUCAAUUUCACUUAGGGAGCAAAAUUGUCUUGUCGUCUGGGAGAGCCCUAACCGCCUGAUGAAACACUGGGACAUCCAGUCGCUCUGAUCAACCUCAUUUUCGUCAUAAUUUGCUGCUAAUUGCGCAUCCCUCUGCUGCUAUCUGCUGAGUUAAGUACAUGUAGUUGAUCUUAAUCCUGUGUAUGGGUAGAACAAGCAUUCACCUUUUUUAAAAUAUGCAUGCACUUAACACUUGCACUAAAAUUUUCAAUCAAAUCCAAUGUCAGUGUUUGGAAUUUGGUAGCUUUGGGGAGGGGUGGGGCAACACUUUCUCUCUUUUCAGGUAUGCUGUUGUGAUUCUACUAAAAUUGAGACUGAGCCGUAACGUGGGAGUGGAUGGAUGUGCUUUGGUCAAAGCAAUUGAGUAACCAGUUUUUGCAUUGGUUUAUUAAUUGUUUUAAAUUGCUUUGGGAUAGGGAGGGAGGGGGGUGUGGGCUUGUAAACUUUUUUUGCUCUUUUUCAUUGCAGCUGUAAACUUGCUAAAACUUUACUCUGAAGAAUUGGGUGUAAAGCGUCGCUGGCUGGAGAUAAGUUUAUACGUGCACUUUUGCCUUUUAAAAGAUUAUGAAAAUAGUUCGGGGAGUCUGGGGGGGAAACGGAAAACCGAGGAUCUGUCUAGUUACAGGAAUGAUGAUUUUCAAAGGCAGCGAUUUUGUUCUGGCCAUGUUGGUGGGAUUUCGAGACCAGGAUCAUUGUUUGGUGCUUUUAAAUAGGAAUGAGUCACACCUGAAUUCAAGUGCAGCCUUGUUCAAGACCUCACUGGUCAGAGAUUUGAUCUUCCAAGUAGAAGCAUAUUAAAAUUUGACAUUGUAUUGAGGACAAAAUGAUUACAGUAGUAUCAAUAGCAUUUUGGAUGUUUUGAAGAUUUUAUCCAGGGAUUGGGGGGGAAACCUGCAGUCUUUUGUGUAGUUUCAGGCUAAAGAAGAAGAGCCAUUCAAGACAUAGAAGAGUAUUGUAGAGCAGCAGGUUUGAGGUUUUUCUUUUCCUGAGGGAACAAUCUUAGGAUUGUUCCUUCAGGUUUUGCUUUUUUAACCUCAUAAGAAAAAAAGCAAAAGACUCCGGUGGAGGCACUCCUGAUUCUCAGGACGGGGUUCAAUUCCCUGCGGUGUCUUUGCUUUCUAACCUCUGCUCAAACUAUACUUUUUAGUGUACGUAAUGUGCACACUUAGUUUUAGUUCAUUUGUUCUUGUGUUGAUGGUGCUACUAAGUCAAAUUGAUAAACUUAAUACUUGUAAAAUAAAGACUAUUGAUGAUAUGUCACCUUUUAAUUUUUUACAUCAAGUAAGAUCUGUACUCAAUUCAAUGCUCCCUAAUGUUUAAUUUAUACUGCAGACAACUAUGCAUUGUUGCAAUAUGGUAUUUCUGAAAUACUGUAAUAGAAUGUUGACAUCUACUGGAAUGUAGAUGUACCUCUUUACAGCCUGAAAGGGUUUUUCUUCAACAGUAGUUCACCAAGGAUUAUAUGGGUAAUUGCUCAAUUGUAUCAUUUUGAACUGAUUAAAUGUUCCUCUUCAUUUA